CCUGGGUUAGUCGGGACCUAAGCUGAGGCCGAAAGGCGUAGGUGAUGGACAACAGGUUGAUAUUCCUGUACUACCGAUAACCGUUUGAGAGAAGGGAUGACACAAUAGGAUAAGCUAAGCACACUGUUGGUUAUGUGUGCCCAAGCAUUGAGGCAGUCAAAGCAGGCAAAUCCGCUUUGAUAAUGCUGGGAUGUGAUGGGGAGCGAAAUUUAGUAGCGAAGUAGCUGAUUUCACACUGUCAAGAAAAGUCUCUAUCGAGGUUAAAGGUACCCGUACCGCAAACCGACACAGGUGGGUGAGGAGAGUAUCCUAAGGCCAGCGAGAGAACUGUUGUUAAGGAACUCGGCAAAAUGACCCCGUAACUUAGGGAUAAGGGGUGCCACCAUCCGGUGGCCGCAGAGAAUAGGCUCAAGCGACUGUUUACCAAAAACAUAGGUUUCUGCUAAGUCGCAAGACGAUGUAUAGGAGCUGACGCCUGCCCGGUGCUGGAAGGUUAAGGGGAUCUGUUAGAGCAAUCGAAGCAGUGAACUUAAGCCCCAGUAAACGGCGGCCGUAACUAUAACGGUCCUAAGGUAGCGAAAUUCCUUGUCGGGUAAGUUCCGACCCGCACGAAAGGCGUAACGAUUUGGGCACUGUCUCAACAACAGACUCGGUGAAAUUGUAAUUCCGGUGAAGAUGCCGGAUACCUGCGACAGGACGGAAAGACCCCAUGGAGCUUUACUGUAGCUUGACAUUGGGUCUUGGUACUACAUGUACAGGAUAGGUGGGAGGCUUUGAAACCAGGACGCCAGUUUUGGCGGAGCCAUCCUUGGGAUACCACCCUUGUAGUACUGGGACUCUAACCAUAGGCCAUGAAUCUGGUCUUGGGACACUGUCAGGUGGGCAGUUUGACUGGGGCGGUCGCCUCCCAAAAGGUAACGGAGGCGCUCAAAGGUUCUCUCAGUACGGUCGGAAAUCGUACGUAGAGUGUAAAGGCAAAAGAGAGCUUGAUUGCAAGACAUACAGGUCGAGCAAGNGCUGAGGCCGAAAGGCGUAGGUGAUGGACAACAGGUUGAUAUUCCUGUACUACCGAUAACCGUUUGAGAGAAGGGAUGACACAGUAGGAUAAGCUAAGCACACUGUUGGUUAUGUGUGCCCAAGCAUUGAGGCAGUCAAAGUAGGCAAAUCCGCUUUGAUAAUGCUGGGAUGUGAUGGGGAGCGAAAUUUAGUAGCGAAGUAGCUGAUUUCACACUGUCAAGAAAAGUCUCUAUCGAGGUUAAAGGUACCCGUACCGCAAACCGACACAGGUGGGUGAGGAGAGUAUCCUAAGGCCAGCGAGAGAACUGUUGUUAAGGAACUCGGCAAAAUGACCCCGUAACUUAGGGAUAAGGGGUGCCACCAUCAGGUGGCCGCAGAGAAUAGGCCCAAGCGACUGUUUACCAAAAACAUAGGUUUCUGCUAAGUCGCAAGACGAUGUAUAGGAGCUGACGCCUGCCCGGUGCUGGAAGGUUAAGGGGAUCUGUUAGAGCAAUCGAAGCAGUGAACUUAAGCCCCAGUAAACGGCGGCCGUAACUAUAACGGUCCUAAGGUAGCGAAAUUCCUUGUCGGGUAAGUUCCGACCCGCACGAAAGGCGUAACGAUUUGGGCACUGUCUCAACAACAGACUCGGUGAAAUUGUAAUUCCGGUGAAGAUGCCGGAUACCUGCGACAGGACGGAAAGACCCCAUGGAGCUUUACUGUAGCUUGACAUUGGGUCUUGGUACUACAUGUACAGGAUAGGUGGGAGGCUUUGAAACCAGGACGCCAGUUUUGGCGGAGCCAUCCUUGGGAUACCACCCUUGUAGUACUGGGACUCUAACCAUAGGCCAUGAAUCUGGUCUUGGGACACUGUCAGGUGGGCAGUUUGACUGGGGCGGUCGCCUCCCAAAAGGUAACGGAGGCGCUCAAAGGUUCUCUCAGUACGGUCGGAAAUCGUACGUAGAGUGUAAAGGCAAAAGAGAGCUUGAUUGCAAGACAUACAGGUCGAGCAAGGAUGAAAAUCGGACUUAGUGAUCCGGUGGUUCUGCGUGGAAGGGCCAUCGCUCAACGGAUAAAAGCUACCCUGGGGAUAACAGGCUUAUCUCCCCCAAGAGUCCACAUCGACGGGGAGGUUUGGCACCUCGAUGUCGGCUCAUCACAUCCUGGGGCUGUAGUAGGUCCCAAGGGUUGGGCUGUUCGCCCAUUAAAGUGGUACGCGAGCUGGGUUCAGAACGUCGUGAGACAGUUCGGUCCCUAUCCGUCGCAGGCGUAGGAAAUUUGAGAAGACCUGUCCUUAGUACGAGAGGACCGGGAUGGACGUACCUCUGGUGUACCAGUUGUCCUGCCAAGGGCAUGGCUGGGUAGCUAUGUACGGAAUGGAUAAGCGCUGAAAGCAUCUAAGCGCGAAGCCAACUUCAAGAUAAGAUUUCCCACCGCAAGGGUAAGACCCCAGAAAGACUAUCUGGUUGAUAGGUCGAAGGUGUAAGUGCAGCAAUGUAUUUAGCUUAUCGAUACUAAUAGGUCGAGGACUUGACCAA
rnacentral:rRNA from 1 species